CCCCUUUUUCUCUUUUUCCUCUCUCCUUUCCCCUCCCCUUUUCCCCCUUUUCCCCAUUCCCUUUUCCUCCUUAUUCCCUUUCCCUUUUCUCCCUUUUUUCCAUUUUCUCCCUUUUUUCCCUUCCUCCUUUUUUCCUUUUAUUCUUCCUUUUGUUUUCCUUUUUCCUUCCUUUCCCCCUUUUCCCCUCUUUUAUCCCCCCUUUCCCCUUUUUCCCCUUUUUCCCCUUUCCCCCUUUUCCCCUUUCCCCAUUUCCCUCCUUUCCUCCCCUUUUUCUCCUUUUCCCCUCCUUUCCCCUCUCCUUUUUUCCCCUUCCCUUUUCCUCUUUAUUCCCUUUCCCCUUUUCCCCUUUCCCCCCUUGCAUUCCCCCCCCGCAAUUCCCGAUCCCGGCCGGAUUUCCCUCCCCCCCCAACCCCGGGAAUUUCGGGAAUUCCGGGAAUUCCGGGAAUUGUGGGAUGGCUGUGUGCGCGGCAGGCGUACCUGGAGAUGAACUACAAGGAGGCCGUGAUCGCCGCCGUCAAGUUCGGGGAGACGGCGCCGCUGCUGCUCAACGGGAAACGCGUGCGGGUCAGCGUGGCCGAGAGAGAGCAGGCGUAAAAACCGGUGAAGAAACGAGUCCUGAACCCCAAAAAAACUCCAGCAAGCACCAAGUAAGACCCUCGUUAAUUAAUUCAUGUUAAUUACAAGAAUUGGGAACCCCGGGCGCUCAAACUUGCACCUUUAAUUGGGGGCUAAUAAUUAAUAAUUAUUAAUGAAAUUAAUUUUUUUGCAUCUUUUUUUCUCCUCCCAGGAAAGUCCCGAGCACCAACAGCAAGAGCCCCAAAGUCCUGACAGGUGAGGUUGAUCCUCAUUAGCUAAUUAAUAAUUAAUUAGUAAUUAAUUCUUAAUUGGCGAGCUUAAUUAAUGAAUUAAUUGCCGUAA
rnacentral:lncRNA from 1 species